rnacentral:rRNA from 1 species
AGCUCCAAUAGCGUAUAUUAAAGUUGUUGCAGUUAAAAAGCUCGUAGUUGGAUUUCUGGGCUGGGCGACUGGUCCGCCGCUGUGCGGUGUGUACUGUUGUUGUUCCCGGCCCAUCCUUGUAGGGAACUGCUUGGGCAUUUAUUUUGUCUUCAGGUAGGGAACUGCAUCGUUUACUGUGAAAAAAUUAGAGUGUUUAAAGCAGGCAUUUUGCUGUGAAUACAUUAGCAUGGAAUAAUAAUAUAGGACUUUGGUUCUAUUUUGUUGGUUGGAGGCCAAGGUAAUGAUUAAUAGGGACAGUUGGGGGUAUUCAUAUUUAAUUGUCAGAGGUGAAAUUCUUGGAUUUAUGAAAGAUGAACUUAUGCGAAAGCAUUUACCAAGGAUGUUUUCA